CUUCUCUCACUGUUCUAUGCCUGAGUGAGGUGACAUCGAAUCUUAGAAUAAGAAUUGGUUGGCAAGAUCAAAGCCUGUUUUGAUGUAACUUCACCAAAACGGACAUGGCAAGGUUCAAGUUGGUUUUACUGGCUCUAAUAGCUGUUGUAUUUAGUAUUACAGACACCGAAACAUCGGAGAAAGUUCUCCAACUAUUUCCUCGUGGUUGUGGUAUCCAUGGAUGGAAAAAAUGCCGCUUUGCAAGGAGAAGAUCAUAUUUACAGAAAAAACGCAUCAACAGAAGGGAUGCCGGUAUACAUCUGAGAGAAUAAACGUGACCAGUAGAAUUCUUCAAACCGAAGAGUUAAUCAUCCUAGAUCAGUGUGGAAAGAGUUUUCUGGUUUACUUUGAUGUAGUGAAGUGGAAUAACUUAACGUAAUGAACAGCAAUGUAAUUUGUAAGAAGAAUUAAAACCAUAUACUCUAUUCAA